UAUUAAUAGUUUUUUUUUUAUAAAAUGCAUUAAGUUUUGUGGAAUAAUUGCAAAAAAAAAAAAAAAUCCGGACGAACGGACAUUUUUUAAGUUCUUUUACUGCUAAAAACCAAUUAAAAUUCAAUACAUUUGAUAUUUUUUUGGUAACUUGAAUGAUUUAAGUUUAAAGAACAUUUCUACUGUAAAAUAAAUCUAAUUUUUUUCUUUUUACGAGUUUUGGAAGGUUUUUACAAAAUUAACCAAAUAUAGAAUUUUAAUAUAGUAUAGAAGACUUGAGAUUGAUAUUGUAAAGUAUUAUUAUAUCAUUUGAGAUAAAAAAGUCCAAUGCAAAUGAGAGAAAAGAAGAGGGAUGAAUGAGGUCUUUUUUUACCAUCAGAUACGACUAUACGAGUGUUGGAUGGUAAAACAGAGGUCUAAUGCCCAAUGUGAGAGUAAUGUGCAUGCGCCUGCUACUUGACUAAUGCCAGAUGUGUGAGCAAUGCGCGAGAGAAAAAGCUAGUGCGCACGUGUGUGUGAAAACAUAAGCCUACAGGCGUCUGCGUGGAGACUAUGGGAAACGCAUUUAAAAGUACGGGAGAAAGGGUAUUCGAAAAAUCCGAGGAUCUAGCUGUAUCUGCUGCAUCGCGCGUGCUAUAGAAAAUCGGUAGGCUUUGAACGAAAAUACUGCUUGUAGAGGCCUGAGUGGAGACUAUGGGAGAUGCAUUUAAAAGUAAAAGAGAGAGGGUGGUCGAAAAAUCCAAGGAUCUAGCUGUAUCUGCUGCACUGCGUGCGCUAUAGAGAAUUGAUGCGCUUUGAAAAAAAUACGUCUGCAGACGCCUGAGUAUGGACUAUGGGAAAUGCAUUUAAACGUAUGAGAGAGAAAGUAGCUGAUGCCCAAAGAAACAUGAAAAGAGACGUUGCACGUUGCAAGCGUGAAUGAAUUGAGAAGCUUUUUUUUGGAAGGAAUAACAAUUUUGACUAUAUUUAAGCAGUCCUCUGCUUUGUGUUUGUAUACAUUUUCGAGUGUACUCAAGCAGUAUACUGUGCUUUAAAUUACAUUAGUUGAGAAAGCUUGCUGUAGCAUUUGUAAGUAUAUUUUAAAUAUUUUAUUAUUUCAUAUUCUUAUUAAUAUUCUUAAUGAGUAAUAUUUACAUAGUUAAAAUGGAUUUAAUUCUUGAUACCCAGGGCUUCAAGGGGUAAAUCGGAGAAUUUUUAAUCAAGGAGUUGGCCUACAUUGAUCCCAACGAGCCAGUAGCAGUAGCUUAACUAGCAACGUUUCAACCACUGUACUCUUGGUACGACUUGUCGAGCGAUGCCCAAUGUGCCAAUCUGUGGCUUAAGUAUUCUUUCCACCGGUUGAAAUGGAGCGAUGGUGAACUUCCAUAUGACAAGCUAGCUAAAGUUUGCUCCAGCCUCCUCAGCUUAUCACCGACAAGAAACGUGAUUGUUUGGGUGAAAGGUGCGCAGAAAAAGGAGUGGCUGCAGCUAUAUUUCUUUGAUGUCCGUAAUAUAGAAGAUCUCGGCUGCCAAUCCUUAAAGAAACCAGAAUUUCGAGCUCCGCUGGUGUGUGCACAUCACCUUCCCGACUGGAAGGAGAAUCGUGCAGUUAAAAACGUUUACGCAAUAAACAAGUGGCUCCGUGCAGUACGGCAAGAUUUUAUCUUCCCACUGCAUUUCUUUGAGGAUUAUUAUUCCUCAUCUGAUUCUGAUACAACAACGUCAACAUUAGAAGGAUAAUUUAUUAUAAUGGAGUCGCUUAACACUGUGGCAAAAGCUCCACCAUUCCUGCCUAAGAAAAAAAUUAAGGAUUUAGAGAUCAACAAGAAGUAUUAAAUAUCGAAACAUGAGAAAGUUCAGACAAAAUUUGGCGCGAAGAUGGUGAUGGAGUUGGAUGCAAGUUUCGACUUUUUCCUACCCACCAAAGUGAAUGCCUUCCUCAUUAAGAACAACACCGACGAUGAAAAGUUGAAGCAAGAAAUUGAUACUAGAGAUGUUUAUCUCAUACAUCAUGGUCACAACAUUAUUGAAUUCGUUUAACAAUUUAUCUCCACUGCGUAUAGUAUUAAGGAUUUUGUCUCAAUAAUUAGAGUGUUUAUUUAUGCUAAAUUCUUUUUUAAAGGAGAUUAUCGCGACGCUUAGUAAGUUUUUUUCUUCUAAUAUUAAGGAUUUUUAUAACAUCUCAUAUUGAAAGUAUUAUUCAAUUUAUAAAUCACAAUUUAAUUACUAUUAGAUUUAAUUAAUAUUAAUUACUAUUAGUUAGCGAGUUUCAAAAGCAGACGAACGUGCGGUGCCGCAAUACAAAUAUUUACAUUAUUGCAUCUAAAUGUUUACAGGACGGACACAAAAUUUAUAUUGACAGAUUAUUACCAAAUAAUUCAAAUAAACAUUAUUUUUGAAAAUGUACAAUCACAAAUUAAUAUUUAUGAGAUUGUGGAAUAUUUGCUAUAGCUUUUGCUGUUUCUAUUGUUUUCAAUUUAUGCCCUUGGGAUUUACAAUUUGUCAUUUCUCGAAUGCGUUAAAAUUUAUUAAAAAUAUAUGAAACAGGUAACAUUAUGAUGUUUACAAUUUUACAAAAUUUUUCUUACGUAAUGAACUAUGAUUUUACAGUUAUACUAAUACGAAAAACCAUUAGUCAUAGAUUUACUUGUGUUGAUAAAAAAUUUCAAUUCCAAUGAAAUCAAAAUGAUAGAAAAGAAUAUUUAAAGACAAUUAAUUAUUGAGCAACAAAAAAUCAUGGAUUCAUAUAGUGGACAUAGAAAAACUUAUAUUGGCUCUAUUAUUCCAGUGGAAAUUGAUGGUUGAAUGACAGUUUCUAAUGUAUUUUAUUACUCUGAUAUAACUAUAUUUUUGGAUGAUGAUUGCAAAGCAGAAGAGAAAGAAUUAAAGAAUUAAACACUACAAAGAACAGAGAAAUUACAAAAAGUAAAUAGCAAUAUCUUAAAAAUGGAACGAGAAAAUUAAGCACUGCGUAAAAGCGAAGCUUACACAAAAA
rnacentral:lncRNA from 1 species